rnacentral:rRNA from 1 species
GACGAACGCUGGCGGCGUGCCUAAUACAUGCAAGUAGGACGCAGUUGCGAACGGGUGAGUAACGCGUAGGUUACAACCUAUUAUAGGGGGAUAACUAUUGGAAACGAUAGCUAAUACCGCAUACUAGUAGAUGGACCUGCGUUGUAGUAGGUAGUAGGUAGGGUAAUGGCCUUGCUCGGCAACGAUACAUAGCCGAACUGAGUGGGUGAUCAGCCAUACUGAGAGUGAGUCACGGCCCAUAGUCCUUCGGGUGCGAGCAGUAGGGAAUCUUCGGCAAUUGGGGGAACCUUGACCGAGACGCGCGGAGUGAGGUAAGAAGGUUGUCGGAUCGGAAAGCUCUGUUGUUAAGGUAUCGGUACUUAACCAGAAAGGGACGGCUAACUACGUGCCAGCAGCCGCGGUAAUUC